UGUGUGAAGAAGGCCUUAUGGUUGUAAAGCACUUAAUCGACGAGGACUGCUACUUAGAUAAUACCUACAGAUAGUGACGUUACUCGCAGAAUAAGCAGCCAGGCUAACUCUGUGCCAGCAGCCGCGGUAAUACAGAGGGUGCAAGCGUUAAUCGGAUUUACUGGGCGUAAAGCGCGCGUAGGCGGCUAAUUAAGUCAAAUGUGAAAUCCCCGAGCUUAACUUGGGAAUUGCAUUCGAUACUGGUUAGCUAGAGUGUGGGAGAGGAUGGUAGAAUUCCAGGUGUAGCGGUGAAAUGCGUAGAGAUCUGGAGGAAUACCGAUGGCGAAGGCAGCCAUCUGGCCUAACACUGACGCUGAGGUGCGAAAGCAUGGGGAGCAAACAGGAUUAGAUACCCUGGUAGUCCAUGCCGUAAACGAUGUCUACUAGCCGUUGGGGCCUUUGAGGCUUUAGUGGCGCAGCUAACGCGAUAAGUAGACCGCCUGGGGAGUACGGUCGCAAGACUAAAACUUCAAUGAAUUGACGGGGGCCCGCACAAGCGGUGGAGCA
rnacentral:rRNA from 1 species